rnacentral:lncRNA from 1 species
GUGGAUCAGGGCUCUGCUGGUCGUUGAGCAACACUUCUGUCCAGUCCCAGUAUGCAAUUACGGCUGAGAGGCUGUCAUCUUCUGCAUGGUCACGUGGCGUCCUGCAGCGGCCUGCAAAGCAGCAUGGACGACAGUGGUGCACCUGAUCUUUCUUUUCUAGAGAACCAAUGAGACCGCUUUAAGGAACUCGUUCAGAGGCUUGUGAGUGAUACGACGCACGAGUUGGGACUGCAAGUCCUUGCAAGCGUCAUCAAAGGCCCUGUAAGCAGCUUGCAGGUCUUGGGUGGCUUUGGACCUCUCCGCUCUGCCCAAAACAUGCGGAUCUUUCAGCACGCAAAUAGCGCGGUGAUCCUAUCACAAAACUGAAAGACUCGGGAAGAUAGAACGGGGGCA